rnacentral:rRNA from 1 species
AUGGAAGAGGAAGAUAAUCCUCCAGCAUAUGAAUCCACUGACACUGAAGAGGAAGAAGAGAAUAGAGACAUGGGUUUAGUUGAUGAAGAGGAAGAGGAGGAGGAGGACAGACCUGUUGUAGUAUAUAACAAGGAGAAUCCAUUAUUUGCAGAAGGCUCGGUAUUCCCCUCUUUGUUGGACUGCAAGAAUGCACUUUCUACUUUUGCAAUUAAACGUGAAUUUGACUAUACAGUCGAAAAGAGUGAUUCUAAGAGGUUGAGAGCAAGUUGUGCAUAUAAGAGGUGUAAGUGGAGAAUUCAUGGCUCUUAUAUGAGGAAUAGCACAAUAUUUCAGAUCAAGGUGUGUCCUUUCUCUCAUACAUGCCCAACUAAGCUAAGAAGUGAGAAGUUCAAGCCGGCAAAGAGCAGGUGGGUUGCUGAUGUUGUGCUGGAGUGGGUGAGAAAGAACCCAGAUAUUGGCCCUACUGCUCUUCAAGAGAAGAUCCAUGAGAAGUACCACUUCACGGUGCCAUACAUGCGUGUAUCUCAUGGUAAGGACAAAGCAAUGUAUAUGAUUAGUGGAAAAUGGGAAGAUAGCUUCCAUCGUCUCUAUAGUUUCAAGGCUGAGGUGGAGAAGUGUUCUCCUGGUAGUGUAGUGGAAAUAGACAAAGAAACUGUGCAGUACAAGAUCAAAGGAAAAGUGAGGGAGAAGGAAUGCUUUAGGAGGGUGUUUGUUUCAUUCAAGGCAUGUUGGCAAGGCUUUUUAAAUGGAUGUCGACCAUACUUGGCCAUAGACUCAACUACACUAAAUGGGAGAUUCAAAGGGAAACUAGCUUCUGCUUGUGCCAUUGAUGGCCGUAAUUGGCUUUACCCAGUUGCAUAUGGGGUGCUAGAGACAGAAUCAUCUGAAAGUUGGGCUUGGUUUCUCCAAAAUCUGCGUGGGCUUAUUGGGCAUCCUGAAGGACUAGUCAUACACACUGACGCUUGCAAAGGUUUAGAGACAGCAAUAGAACAAGUGUGGCCUGGAGUGGAGCAUAGGGAGUGGCUGAAGAUGAUGGUAAUUAGACGCAGUGAUGUUGAGGCAGAAAUUACUGCAGUGGACAAAGAGAAUAGGGAAUGGAGGUACCCUGUUGACAUCGCAAAGGAAACAUGUAGCUGCAGGCAAUGGCAGGUCAAGGGUUUGCCAUGUAUCAAUGCCCUGUACUUUAUUACUUCACUACGAGGUCCAGUAUCAGAAAUUGAACCAUAUGUACAUGAGUUCUACUCCAUUGCAAAAUUUAAGGCUGCGUAUGCGGACAACAUACCUGCAAUGGUAGGCAAGCAACAAUGGGACAUUGUUGACCCUGGUUUCAAACUACAUGCUCCAGUGUUGAGGAGGCCAAAAGGCCGACCAAGGAAGACUAGAAUUAGAUCUAGUGCUGAAGGUGCUGGCGUGGGCGCCAGGAAAAGGAAGUGCAAGCGAUGCGGAGGCUUCGGGCACAUUGCCAGAUUGUGCACAAAUCCAGUUGACCCAGCAUUUGGAGAAGAUGAGGCUGAUCUCCAAGCUAGGGAAGCCCCUUUUGUGGCAGGAGAAGGCGACCCUGAACUAUCAAUGGUUGCAAGUUCUGCUAGAAAAAUGGGCAGCAACCAUGCUGAAAUUUUCAUAGAAAUAUAG